ACUAUAGCUUGACACUGAACAUUGAGCCUUGAUGUGUAGGAUAGGUGGGAGGCUUUGAAGCGUGGACGCCAGUCUGCGUGGAGCCAACCUUGAAAUACCACCCUUUAAUGUUUGAUGUUCUAACGUUGGCCCCUUAUCGGGGUUGCGGACAGUGUCUGGUGGGUAGUUUGACUGGGGCGGUCUCCUCCCAAAGCGUAACGGAGGAGCACGAAGGUUAGCUAAUCCUGGUCGGACAUCAGGAGGUUAGUGCAAUGGCAUAAGCUAGCUUGACUGCGAGCGUGACGGCGCGAGCAGGUGCGAAAGCAGGUCAUAGUGAUCCGGUGGUUCUGAAUGGAAGGGCCAUCGCUCAACGGAUAAAAGGUACUCCGGGGAUAACAGGCUGAUACCGCCCAAGAGUUCAUAUCGACGGCGGUGUUUGGCACCUCGAUGUCGGCUCAUCACAUCCUGGGGCUGAAGUAGGUCCCAAGGGUAUGGCUGUUCGCCAUUUAAAGUGGUACGCGAGCUGGGUUUAGAACGUCGUGAGACAGUUCGGUCCCUAUCUGCCGUGGGCGCUGGAGAAUUGAGGGGGGCUGCUCCUAGUACGAGAGGACCGGAGUGGACGCAUCACUGGUGUUCGGGUUGUCAUGCCAAUGGCACUGCCCGGUAGCUAAAUGCGGAAGAGAUAAGUGCUGAAAGCAUCUAAGCACGAAACUUGCCCCGAGAUGAGUUCUCCCUGAGACUUUAAGUCUCCUGAAGGAACGUUGAAGACGACGACGUUGAUAGGCCGGGUGUGUAAGCGCAGCGAUGCGUUGAGCUAACCGGUACUAAUGAACCGUGAGGCUUAACCUU
rnacentral:ncRNA from 1 species